UCCAUCGUAUUUUGAACAUCCUCUUUUGCAUUGUUCUGUCCAAGUCCAAAUCCCCUAGCAUAUAUACCAUUCCAUCAUAUUAGUCAAUAACCUUUCAAAGCAUGCAGAAAAGAAAAUCGAAGUUUCCGAAAAAAAAUAUUCGGAAUAUGAUUUUCCCCCCAAAAAAACAACCCCUUCAGGCUGGUGAUCACCCCUAGAACUAUUCCAAUUUCCAAGUCACCAGUUAAUGUGUCUGGUGUGAGUACUCGAACCCUGAUCUCUUCUUUGUGAAAGAGUAAUAAGGUGCAGGACACGACAUGGAUGUAUUGUUGUAGUCUUCACUGAAAAACAUAUUGGAAACUUCCAAAGUUCCUAUACGGCUUUAUUUUGUGGCAUAAAAAGAUUAAAUACUGAUCUUAUCACGGAUCGAGUGAGAAAUUCUCAGGAGAAGA